AUGGCCUUUGGCAGCUGUGCCGGAGCCGGGUCUUUUCUUCGAGGAAAUGCAAGCAGCCCAUUCCUCCUAAAGCUGGAAAGAAGCCCUCAGCAAAGCUUCAGCUGUCUGGGGAAAAGUGAGGAUUUAACAGCAAUUUGGAGGGCAGAUCUGCUGCCAAGGUGGUUGGAGGAAAUGCUGGAGAGAAUGACUCUGGCUGCGAUCCUCCCCAGUGAGGACAGUUUGUCCAUGAAAGCCCCAGGGAGAGCUGCAGGUGAUGGAUGAGGUGCAAGCUGGCAGAGGCCACAGCUUUCAGGAACGCUUCCUUCCCCCACAUCUUUUGAAAGCCAAGGUCAAGCUACAUGAAAAAUGCUCUGGGACACCUCAUGUGUCAAACAUAUGAAACCGUGCUUUGAGACAAAAAUGACAGAGCAAUAUGCAGUGGGACCACAGCAAGCUAACAAUGUCAUGGUGGUGAGGAAACAAAAGACGGUCAGCUCAAAUGAAAGAGUCCAUUGUGUGUGUGCAUUGCAGGUCAGGCUCCAGCCAGGUUUCGGAGAAGUGGAGAAGAGAUGAAGGUUGUUUCCAUUUUAUUUUGCUUUCUUUAUUUCUUUUUCCCCAGCAUGGAGGCUUAAUUAGGUGUGAUUUGUAUGUAUUCAUUGGCCAGAUUGGUUUCAAAAAGCCAUCAAACCCUCCCAUAAGUGAAUUCUUGGAGAAGCAGCCCAGCAUUUAUUAGUAAAUAACAGGAACCCCUGAAUAUGACCAGUGGUUCACAGCUAGAGUGCCCACCUGUCCUGUAUUGCAGAGGAUGACCUUGUUUUGGUACAUCAUGUCCCAUAUACAAUAGCAAACUGGUAAAAAGAGUUCUGAUAUGAUGCAAAAUAGCAUUUCAGUCUGUGGUAAGAAUAACAGCAUGAGCUUCAAGAGCUCGAGAUGUCCUGAAUUGAAACCUGGGAAAUGGGCUUUGUUCUGCUC
rnacentral:lncRNA from 1 species